rnacentral:rRNA from 1 species
AUUGAACGCUGGCGGCAGGCUUAACACAUGCAAGUCGAGCGGGGGAGGUUGCUUCGGUAACUGACCUAGCGGCGGACGGGUGAGUAAUGCUUAGGAAUCUGCCUAUUAGUGGGGGACAACAUUCCGAAAGGAAUGCUAAUACCGCAUACGCCCUACGGGGGAAAGCAGGGGAUCUUCGGACCUUGCGCUAAUAGAUGAGCCUAAGUCGGAUUAGCUAGUUGGUGGGGUAAAGGCCUACCAAGGCGACGAUCUGUAGCGGGUCUGAGAGGAUGAUCCGCCACACUGAGACGGCGACACGGCCCGGACGCCUGCGGGAGGCAGCAGGGGGGAAUAUUGGACAAUGGGCGGAGGCCUGAUCCAGCCAUGACGCGUGUGUGAAGGAGGCCUUUUGGUUGUAAAGCACUUUAAGCGAGGAGGAGGCUCUUAAGGUUAAUACCCUUGAUGAGUGGACGUUACGCACAGAAUAAGCACCGGCUAACUCUGUGCCAGCAGCCGCCGUAAUAC